GAUGAACGCUGGCGGCGUGCCUAAUACAUGCAAGUCGAGCGAACGGACGAGAAGCUUGCUUCUCUGAUGUUAGCGGCGGACGGGUGAGUAACACGUGGAUAACCUACCUAUAAGACUGGGAUAACUUCGGGAAACCGGAGCUAAUACCGGAUAAUAUUUUGAACCGCAUGGUUCAAAAGUGAAAGAAGGUCUUGCUGUAACUUAUAGAUGGAUCCGAGCUGCAUUAGCUAGUUGGGAAGGUAACGGCUUACCAAGGCAACGAUGCAUAGCCGACCUGAGAGGGUGAUCGGCCACCCUGCAUCUGAGACACGCUCCAGACUCCUACGCGAGGCCGCAGUCGGGAAUCUUCCGCAAUGGGCGAAAGCCUGACGGAGCAACGCCGCGUGAGUGAUGAUGGUCUUCGGAUCGUAAAACUCUGUUAUUAGGGAAGAACAUAUGUGUAAGUAACUGUGCACAUCUUGACGGUACCUAAUCAGAAAGCCCCGGCUAACUACGUG
rnacentral:rRNA from 1 species